AGCGAACGCUGGCGGCAGGCUUAACACAUGCAAGUCGAACGCCCCGCAAGGGGAGUGGCAGACGGGUGAGUAACACGUGGGAACGUACCCUUUGGUUCGGAAUAACUUGGGGAAACUCAAGCUAAUACCGGAUAAGCCCUUAUGGGGAAAGGUUUACUGCCGAAGGAUCGGCCCGCGUCUGAUUAGCUAGUUGGUGAGGUAAUGGCUCACCAAGGCGACGAUCAGUAGCUGGUCUGAGAGGAUGAUCAGCCACACUGGGACUGGGACACGGCCCAGACUCCUACGGGAGGCAGCAGAGGGGAAUAUUGGAAAAUGGGGGCAACCCUGAUCCAGCCAUGCCGCGUGAGUGAUGAAGGCCUUAGGGUUGUAAAGCUCUUUUACCCGGGACGAUAAUGACUGUACCGGGAGAAUAAGCCCCGGCUAACUUCGUGCCAGCAGCCGCGGUAA
rnacentral:rRNA from 1 species